UACAGAUGUGACUGGGAGGUGAACAGCAGUCCUCCGUGGCUCUCCCGUCAUCCUUGGAGAUGACAACGCAGACUUCUUCAAGAAUUUGUGUGAGUUUAGGAUGGCGUGAAGCUUCGACUUGACCCUAUGGAAACACAGCAGAUGCCACCAAAGGGACUCUGAUGACCUUCUGGACGUGUCCCACACCUCCAUUGGGACCCUGACGGUGCUGAAGACAUCGUGGCCUCCUCACUCGCUGAACCUGGAGUCUACAACUACUGCCAUCGUUUUGGGAGGAACAGUCGUGAUGGGUGACCUUGAUAAUCUUCCCCGUGCCGUGUGGCUACUCUUCGGACUUAUUUACCCCUGAAUUUGGAGUAUCCUCAACGAGUGAGGAACACCUUCUGAAUUUAUUCAUAGAGUGCUUCUCACUUGGACCAAAAACCCUAAAAUACAAUCACUCAAAAAUCUACUGAUGCCAUAAGGGACUGUGUUCAUGAUGUGCAGUCAGGCCCGAGAACUUCACCCUUCUAUCUCCAAUAGAACUCUUUUAUAGAAAAUGUCUGUUUUUGUUGUUUUUCUGUAGUGAAAUUUAGCAAAUGCCGAAAACGCUGUGUUCAUCAUAUUUCUGCAUUACAAAACCUAAUCUGGCAACAUGUUCAGCGUUUUAAGCACGUUGUUUGAGUUUUAAAACAUGUGUUUUUCUUCUAAAUAAACGUUGUCUUCCAUUGUAA